UACAGAGGUCCCAAGCGUUGUUCGGAUUCAUUGGGCGUAAAGGGUGCGUAGGCGGCGCGGUAAGUCGGGUGUGAAAUCUCGGAGCUUAACUCCGAAACUGCAUUCGAUACUGCCGUGCUUGAGGACUGGAGAGGAGACUGGAAUUUACGGUGUAGCGGUGAAAUGCGUAGAUAUCAGGAGGAACACCUGUGGUGUAGACGGCUCUCUGGACCGCAACUGACGCUGAGACACGAAAGCGUGGGUAGCAAACAGG
rnacentral:rRNA from 1 species